rnacentral:rRNA from 1 species
CCCUAUGGGGUGCAGCAGGCGCGAAAACUUUACAAUGCGGGAAACCGUGAUAAGGGAACUCCGAGUGUCCGUAAAUGCGGACUGUCCGUAUGUUUAAAAAGCAUGCGAAGAAAGGGCCGGGCAAGACCGGUGCCAGCCGCCGCGGUAAUACCGGCGGCUCGAGUGGUGGCCACUAUUAUUGGGCUUAAAGCGUUCGUAGCUGGGUUAUUAAGUCUCUUGGGAAAUCUACCGGCUUAACCGAUAGGCGUCCAAGGGAUACUGGUAAUCUAGGGACCGGGAGAGGUGAGGGGUACUUCAAGGGUAGGAGUGAAAUCCUGUAAUCCUUGGGGGACCACCUGUGGCGAAGGCGCCUCACCAGAACGGCUCCGACAGUGAGGGACGAAAGCUGGGGGAGCAAACCGG